ensembl:lncRNA
GACUACCACACCUUACUUUACAAACGUCAACACUCCUUAUAUUUACUGGCCCAAUUUUUGUCUUGUCAGUCUGUAAACUUUGAACGAAAACGCAUCACAUAGAGCAUUGCAAGGACUAUUGUAAGGAAUAUUGUUCGUUAUUCAUGGUUUUAUGACUUUGAAGAGCGGGAGAAGCAGUUUUUUUCUUUCUAGUCAGGAUGGCACAAGGAAACUUUUAUUCACCCUGUUGUUUGUGUGGUGUGCUAUUAAUUCUGCGACUAGAGUUGGUGCUUCAAAAAUGGAGUCUUCAACUUCAGGAUAUACGGCUUCAGAAAGAACAACUGUACUUGCCACUUCAACCUCAGCAAAACCAGCUGCAACCUCAUCAGAUUCUUCAGGUGCAACAAUGGUUAUAACUACAGAAAGACUUGCUUCAACAACCAUGACUACAUCUUCAGAAAAGACAAAAGUAACUGAAACAACAAAUACUGCAUCCACAACCACAACUGAACAUUCCACUGCUACAGCUAAAAGAGUGGAAACCACAACUACAGCUUCAUUAACUACAUCUACAAGAAACGAUCCAAAAACAUCAAUAGCUGUAACAUCAGAAUCCACAACUCUUACUUCAACAACAAUACCUACAUCAUCAGAAACAACUGCACCUGUAACAACAUCAACAACUACAGCAUUGUCAACUAGUGAAAUUCCCACAACCGCAGUUGUGAGUACAGAGACCACACCUA